UUAAUAAUCAGCAUGAGGAGUUCAAACCCCAGGAAAACAGUUCAACAGAAGGUUGAACCACUAGAUUUCAUGUGUGUUAAAAAAAAAAGUGAUAGAGUACAUCUGGGCUUUUCUCUAGAUUAUACAUUGAAGGUACAUAAACAGGAAUUCCUUGAUUAUACAUCAAACAAGUUCAGAGCUGCUGAUGUUAUCUCCCUGUGGAGGGAGGCCAGGACCGGGGUCGUUAAUUAUUCUCUCAAUCUCUAAGAAACGCAGCUACCCCUUUAUCUUUUCCUGCUGUGGAUCUGCCGGGCUGCUGUCUUCUGUCAGGAGAUGUGGGGUCGCAAGGUCGUUUGACGCAGGCUGAGCACGGCCUGCGCGGCUGCUCCGCAGGACAGCGCGGAUUUCAUUGUGCUGACUGACAGCCCGUGCAGUUUGCUUGCUAGAUUUGCCUGUUGGACCCCGGAAAAGGGCCCCGAAAAUCUGUCCACCAAUCGCCAACUAAUUUCUGAAUAUAAAGAAGAAAAGAGACUAAAAAUUUUUCUCCAAACAGCAAUCCAGGUGUCGCUUCUGAUAGGAACUUCAAAUUACCAUGCACAACUCUGUAGAGAUCAUCCAGGACACUCAUCUCAUAUGAUGAAUGAGACAUCUCAGAUGACAUGAGAUGGAUAUAGUAGCAAAGAAAGAGACUCUUCCUCCUUCCAUACUGAGGUUUCCCCCGUUAUCUCAAUGUGCACUAUAAAAACCAUAAAUCAGCGUCCAUUCUUUAACCACCAAAAUAAAAAUAUUCAAGAUAAAGCUAUUGUGAGAGGAAUCCUCUUUCCAAAAGUCAAUUAUUUUGGUGCAACCUUCAGCAUAUAUUAGAUGAAUGCGAAGAAGUCCAUGGUGAAAGAAACUUCCUUUUUCUCCCAUCACAUUUCUCUCUACCCAUAGACAAGAACUUCUGUCUUCUCACUAAUAUUUAAUAAAAACACUGCCAACUACUCACCUUGAACCAGCUCAUUCCUGGAGCCAAGAGGAGUGACUUAUUUGGUGGAUAAUAAUAGCCUUCCAUUCAUUGGCCUACAUUUCCCUGUCAGUGAGGUUAAUAAGUUAAUGGGUAUAAAGGCAUGGUCUCCCUUUCUCUCCUGGACUCUGCGCAGGAGGGGUGUAAAGCCGGUGAAGACUCUCCAUGCACUGGCUGGGUUGGAUUCUGUGAACCAACCUUCUCUGUAUUCAGGCUCCAAAGUCAAGACCUGGAGAAAGUAUUAGAAAAGUCAUUUUUGGUCAUAGGGUCAAGCGAUGUUUUCCAAAUCAGCUUUGUUGUUGUUAGUGCCAUUGAUUCAAUUCUGACUCCCAGCAGCCCAGUGUAUAGCAGAGCUGAACCCUGCCAGGUGUUUUUGCACCAUUCUCUCACCU